ensembl:lncRNA
GAUUAAGGUGUGUACACGUCUGUAACACAACGUUAAUAGUGUGAUUAAGGUGUGUACACGUCUGUAACGCGACGUUAAUAGUGUGAUUAAGGUGUGUACACGUCUGUAACGCGACGUUAAUAGUGUGAUUAAGGUGUGUACACGUCUGUAACACGUGUUAAUAGUGUGAUUAAGGUGUGUACACGUCUGUAACGCGACGUUAAUAGUGUGAUUAAGGUGUGUACACGUCUGUAACACGACGUUAAUAGUGUGAUUAAGGUGUGUACACGUCUGUAACACGUGUUAAUAGUGUGAUUAAGGUGUGUACACGUCUGUAAC